rnacentral:lncRNA from 1 species
AUAAUAACAAAUAUUUGACCUUAAAUGUGUUAAUAUUUACUUUAAUUGAUGGUGUGCCAUGCAAAAUAAAAAAAAUAUGAUGAAAUAUUUGUAAGUUGGACGAGUAAAAGGGAGAGAAAACAACGCAAUAAAGAAAGUAAAAAGUAGACGUCUUUGUCACAUCAACAUUGACAAUAGUCUCCUGUUUGUUAACAGCCUACAAACCGUGUCAAGAUCGGAAAUCACUAUCUUACAUGUUUAAUACAACCACAAGCAAAGUUAAAGAGGAUAUAUGAAUCACAUUUUAAGUCUGUCCGUCCGUCAGUCC